GACGAACCGUACGAACGUUAUUCGGAAUCACUGGGCUUAAAGGGUGCGUAGGCUGCGCGGAAAGUUGGGUGUGAAAUCCCUCGGCUCAACCGAGGAACUGCGCCCAAAACUGCCGUGCUCGAGGGAGACAGAGGUGAGCGGAACUUAGGGUGGAGCGGUGAAAUGCGUUGAUAUCCUAAGGAACACCGGUGGCGAAAGCGGCUCACUGGGUCUCUUCUGACGCUGAGGCACGAAAGCUAGGGGAGCGAACGGG
rnacentral:rRNA from 1 species